rnacentral:lncRNA from 1 species
GAUUUAGGGGCGUUGCCUGCGAGCUGGUGAGGACGGUGAGGAGCGCCGCCACGAAGUACCACUGCAUCGUCUCCCCCUGCCCCUGUUCGCCUUCCGCCGCGCCGCUUCUCUUUCCUUCUCUCUUCUCGUGGUUUUGGUGCUGGAGAACGGAGCAGGAGGCAGGAGCGCACCGCUGGAGGUGGCGUUGGCCUGGUGGGCGAGCACUUCGAGCUUUUCACAACUUUACUUUGCAUUUUCACCCCCGGGUAUGUUUUCUUCGUAUAGUUUUUAUGGAAAAAACCCUGGUGACAUAUUAUUGAG